rnacentral:rRNA from 1 species
AGUGAACGCUGGCGGCGUGCUUAACACAUGCAAGUCGAGCGAGGUACUAACGGUAGCAAUACUGGAUAGGCCUAGCGGCAGACGGGUGAGUAACACGUAGAGAACCUUCCUCUAAGCGGGGGAUAGCUAGCCGAAAGGUUAGGUAAUACCGCGUAAGAUCCUUUGUCGGCAUCGACGGGGGAGUGAAACAAUCCGCAAGGAUGGCUUGGAGAGGGCUCUGCGGCCUAUCAGCUAGUUGGU